rnacentral:rRNA from 1 species
UACGGAGGAUCCAAGCGUUAUCCGGAUUUAUUGGGUUUAAAGGGUGCGUAGGUGGCCUAUUAAGUCAGGGGGUGAAAGACGGUAGCUUAACUAUCGCAGUGCCUUUGAUACUGAUGGGCUUGAAUACAGUUGAAGUGGGCGGAAUGUGACAAGUAGCGGUGAAAUGCAUAGAUAUGUCAACAGAACACCGAUUGACGAAGGCAGCUACACUAAAGUGUGAUUGACACUGAGGCACGAAAAGCGUGGGGAGUCAAACAGG